rnacentral:lncRNA from 1 species
UCUAAAGACCCGUUUAGGCCGUAGGGUGGUUGAGGAGGGCGCCCCGGCUGUUGCGCCCCUCCAGAGAUAGGCUGGAAGGGACAGAUUGUUCCCGCGGGCGGGUUACGUUAGAAAGCGUGCUCCCGGCCGGCUACAACCGACUGGUAGUAGGAGCAGACGCUGGGAGCGCAGGGGGUGGGCACUGGGCCGAGGCCCCCGCCCCCAGCCUACGGGCUGGAGGCCGCGGCUCCAGCUUUCAAGCAGGGUACUGUCGGGGAGAACCCGGCUGUUCUGGUUGGUGGCGCGCAGCCUAUAGUUGUAGGUUGCAGGGGCCAUAAUCAACAGGCAAGUGGGCCACCAGCCCACCUGCACCUUCUUGGGAGCCCGGCAUUCUCACUGCAAGCUUUGGUGGAGUGGGGUGCAGCAGGCC